ACCGUGGUAAUUCUAGAGCUAAUACAUGCUAAAAAUCCCGACUUCUGGAAGGGAUGUAUUUAUUAGAUAAAAAGCCAAUAGCCCGCAAGGGUUUUUCACUGGUGAAUCAUGAUAACUUUUCGAAUCGCAUGGUCUUGUACCGGCGAUGAAUCAUUCAAAUUUCUGCCCUAUCAACUUUCAAUGGUAGGAUAGAGGCCUACCAUGGUUUUAACGGGUAACGGGGAAUUAGGGUUCGAUUCCGGAGAGGGAGCCUGAGAAACGGCUACCACAUCCAAGGAAGGCAGCAGGCGCGCAAAUUACCCAAUCCCGACACGGGGAGGUAGUGACAAUAAAUAACAAUACGGGGCUCAUUUGGGUCUCGUAAUUGGAAUGAGUACAAUUUAAAUCUCUUAACGAGGAACAAUUGGAGGGCAAGUCUGGUGCCAGCAGCCGCGGUAAUUCCAGCUCCAAUAGCGUAUAUUAAAGUUGUUGCAGUUAAAAAGCUCGUAGUUGAACUUCGGGGUCUACCCAUUGGUCAGGCUUAAUUGUCUGCACUGGUGAGAUGGAUCUCUACCUUCUGAGGAACUUUCAUGCCAUUUAUUUGGUGUGGUUGGAAAUCAGGACUGUUACUUUGAAAAAAUUAGAGUGUUUAAAGCAGACUAUCGUCUGAAUACAUUAGCAUGGAAUAAUGAAAUAGGACGGACCGAUUCUAUUUCGUUGGUUUCUAGGAUCACCGUAAUGAUUAAUAGGGAUAGUUGGGGGCAUUAGUAUUCAAUUGUCAGAGGUGAAAUUCUUGGAUUUAUUGAAGACUAACUACUGCGAAAGCAUUUGCCAAGGAUGUUUUCAUUAAUCAAGAACGAAAGUUAGGGGAUCGAAGACGAUCAGAUACCGUCGUAGUCUUAACCAUAAACUAUGCCGACUAGGGAUCGGACGAAGUUAAUUUUAUAAUGACGCGUUCGGCACCUUACGGGAAACCAAAGUGUUUGGGUUCCGGGGGGAGUAUGGUCGCAAGGCUGAAACUUAAAGGAAUUGACGGAAGGGCACCACCAGCGGUGGAGCCUGCGGCUUAAUUUGACCCAACACGGGGAAACUCACCAGGUCCAGACAUAGUAAGGAUUGACAGAUUGAGAGCUCUUUCUUGAUUCUAUGGGUGGUGGUGCAUGGCCGUUCUUAGUUGGUGGAGUGAUUUGUCUGGUUAAUUCCGAUAACGAACGAGACCUUAGCCUGCUAAAUAGUUAGGCCCUCCUUGGAGGGUCGACAACUUCUUAGAGGGACUAUUGGCAUUUAGCCAAUGGAAGUUUG
rnacentral:rRNA from 1 species